rnacentral:rRNA from 1 species
CUACGGGGGGCAGCAGUAAGGAAUAUUGCGCAAUGGACGAAAGUCUGACGCAGUGACGCCGCGUGAAUGACGAAGCUUUUAGGAGUGUAAAAUUCUUUUCUUUGGGACGAAUGCCCAUUUCGGUGGGAGUGACGGUACCGAAGGAAUAAGCACCGGCUAACUCCGUGCCAGCAGCCGCGGUAAUACGGAGGGUGCAAGCGUUGUCCGGAUUUACUGGGCGUAAAGGGCGUGUAGGCGGAACGCUCAGUCGGGGGUGAAAUUUACGGGCUUAACCUGUAACGUGCCUUCGAUACUGUCGUUCUUGAGUUCAGGAGGGGGCAAUGGAAUUCCCGGUGUAGCGGUGGAAUGCGCAGAUAUCGGGAGGAACACCGGUGGCGAAGGCGGUUGCCUGGCCUGAAACUGACGCUGAGGCGCGAAAGUGUGGGUAGCAAACAGGAUUAGAUACCCCCGUAGUC